UCUGACAUGGGCAGCUUCCGGACUGUUCUCACAGAGGCCACUCCUGCAGCCCCCUGCUACCAAUCCCUAUGUAGUAAUUACAAAGCCUCUGUGCUUUCGGCUGUCAUGAUCCUUCUGCAAGUGCAGGAUAGGCGCAAGGUUGCUUUGCAUUUCCAAAAGGAGUAAGAAAGCCUCCAACCCCACUGGACCUCAGCCACUUGCAGGUUUCAAGCAACACCCCCCACUUUCAGUUAUCUCCCUCCCAUGCACACAGUGGAAGCAAGGUUGAGCAAACACAUUUUUUGAAAAUGUUUAUAUUAAUGAAGAAUAAAAGAAUUCUACUACCCCCAAUCUCUCUGUGCAUCCAAGGCAAAAAUCGUGGAUUAUUCUGCCUCAACACUGUUUUCAGACCAAAUUUGUCAAGUCAUCUAGCAGAGGAUUUCUCUCUUGUUCACUCACUAGCUUAUUAGAGCACCAGUUUUCAUAGGUGAUAGAGCAAAUUCCUCAACCAUCUGAAGGGACUUGAUCCCAGAAAACUUCAAAACUGCAGAUGACUCAUGGUUUUGUGGUGAAGCAUCUAUUAAAUUAGAGCUGUUCCCCUUAGGGCACAGUGAGACAAUGUGAGAAGAACCCUGUAUCUCACUGAUUGAGGCUUUAUAACUCUACAGAAUUGUCAGUCAACAAUAAAUGGAAAGGGCAGGAGAAAUGUUCUUUCCUCCUCCUCUCCUUGCCAUACGUUAGCGGACAGCUUGUGGUGGGAUAUAGGUUCAGAGCCUCGCAGAAGAAGGAUUUGAACCCAGGCUCUCCACAGUCUGCACCACUGCCUUCCUGAGGGCUUUUGACUGUUUUUUGUUUGUUUGUUUGUUUGUUUUGUUUUGUUUUUGCUUUUGUGGAUGGUGUCUAAGUCCAGGGGAAAAAGAACCAACUGUGGGAGGAGGGAAUGCUACUACUGUCUGUGAUAGUGAUGAUUUAUGGACAGUGGUAGCAACAGAGCUUCUGCAGAGAAGAGAAAAUUACAGGCAGUCUCUGUGGUUAUUCCAUGUACUGUGAGUACUGUGUGCAGUUUUGGGCACCACAGUAUAAGAAAAAGAUAUAAAACUGUUAGAGAGUGUCCAAAGAAGGGCAACAAACAGGAGGGUCUCUUUUAACACGUGUAUUGAGAUUUGCGGCAAGGUUUUGGUAGCAAGGUCAGGGGCUGCACUGUGCUGGACACAGCAACAGAUGCACCAUAGGCCAAACUCAGACAAUAAGCCAAGGUGUGUUGCCUCUAAGAAUGCACAGAAAAUAUUGGAUGGAGAGAGUUGGAGAGAACAAAAAGAAUGAGGAACAACAGAGGGAACAUCAAGGUCAUAGGAGGAGGAGAAGUAGAUGCUCCAUGGUGGAGCAGAUAUUCUUUGAAACUUGUGGAGGAUCCAUGCCAGAACAGAUGAAUAUUCCUGACAGGGACUGCAGCCUGUGGAGGACCCACACUGGAGCAAAGUAGAAACGAGAAGAAAGGAUAGGCAGAGAAGAACUGCUGCAUAUUAACCACAGCCUCCUCCUGUGCUGCCCAUUUCCCCGGUGAAUGGACUGAGCGAGAUCAGCAGGUCGAAAACAGGUGCUUGGAGUGAAGUUGAGCACAGAAGAGGAGGAAGAGUGUUACCCCUAUGUGGUUUGAUGUUUGUCCUUUUGCUUCCCAACACCUGAACUAGUAAUUAAAUUUAUACAAAUUAAUUGGCAUUAAAUUAAUUUCCUCAAGUUAAGAGAGAUUUUUCCACAACAAUCAUUGAUAAGCAAUAUCCCUGUCUUUAUCAAAACCCAUGAGCUUUCUCGUUCCUCUUUUUUUCCCCAAUUUUAUCCCCUGUCCUGCUGAGGUGGGCAGGGAGUGAGCAGGUUACAUUACAUCCAACAGAAGCUCUAACACAUUCUUCAUUGAAGUAGACUUUGAAAUGCCAAACACCGUUAAAUCUAUAAAUAUUAUUUAGAUAUCACAUGUUGUUAAUUUUUACAAGUAAUAUUGCAUGUUGUUAAUUUUUCUAACAUCUAGGCUAUACAUUCAAAAUCAGUUAUCUAAUAAAGUCUAUUUAUUAAAACAUAUAUAAAAAAAUAUAACACAUAUUGUGUUAUAAAGCACACAAUUCCCUACCAAUGACAAGAAAAAAAUCAUCUAAUUGAGCAUGCAGUUUUUAUUAACCUGUUUUUUUCCAAAUACACAACAACACAUACACAUGUACGUGUUGUUGUUUUUUUUUUUUUCAUCAUUUCUCACUGAAGCAAUACCCAUCCCAUACUGGAUCUGUGUCAUUAUUCUAAUUUUUGUUUCUAAUGUACUUGAAAAACUUCUUAACUCUAUUGAUUGCAACAGUGGACUUUUUCCUAUUGAUCUUAACUCCAUUUAUCAAUUACUUAUUCUCUUAAAUUCCUGCUUUUAAGAGAUCGUUAGGUAUUCACCAUCUCUCACUAUAAUUUAUAGCUUUUCUUUUCUUUUUCAAUAGUUCAGCCCUAGUCAACUCGGAGGUGGGGAGCAGCAGCUUCUAUGGAGAUACUAUGCUGAAAAAAAAAAAAAAAAGAUUGGCCCUGAGGGAAAAGGAAUGUGGGACAGACAGAUGGGGCAAGGGGGGUGGUUUGACCAGGAUACCUUGAGGGUCUGGGAAGAGAAGAAAUGGAUGGGUGCUUAAAAGAUGAGAUCGCUCUUGGCAGCAUCACAGACUACAUACUGAAGAAUUGUGACAAGCAGUUUAGAAAUUUGCAGGGAAGAGGGGCAAGACACAGGGAAGAAACAGAGGGAAUGGAGAAAACUACAGUCUGGAUAUGCACAAGUAGCAAUAAAAUCAGUGCUGGAUAGAAAGAGAGAAGACAGACAGACAGACAGAAAGACAGACAGACAGAAAGAAGGAAAGAAAGAAAGAAAGAAAGAAAAAGGAAGAAAAAAAGAAAACCCCACACUCAUAAAAAUGAGAAACAUCCAGGCAUAAAAGAACGUAAAGCAAAGACAACUGUCAUGAUGUGGUAUGAUAGGAUCUAGGAGAAAGCAGAAAUCCAGCAAUGCUGUCUUUCCUACUCCUCAAAACCAAUUCAGUUGACAACUAUGAAUGCUUCCAGCUGGAAAAAAAUGGAAGAAUGAAAUGGAGGACUCCUUGCCAUCACUGUGUUUCUGGAGCACACCUCUACCUUUCUGCCCAACAGGGGGUUCUUCUUGGGAGAUAAUUGCAGAAUGUGAAAAAACAUGACCAAAACCAGAGGACCCAUCUCCACAACUGCAUGAUAAAUAUAAAAGACAUCUCUAGAUGCAGACCUUAGAGCUCCAAUUCACUAUGUCCCACUAUUGGAAGUUAUUUUUUAUGCUUUGUUUUUAAGGCCACUGGCUGCCUCCUCCCUUAUGCUCCCCAUUCCCCCUGUUGUCCUGUCUUCUUUCUCCUGCAUUGCUUCCUUUCCUUGGCGGACCUUGCUGAGGUCUUUGAUACUGUGUUGUAUAUAUAUGUAUGAAGGCAGUAUGUCUCUUAUUCUUUUACACUGCUGACUGCUACCGCAUAUACCUCUGCAAGUUUUCUUACAAGGGAUUAGGAGAGAAAGGCCUGUGCCUGGCAGAGGGAGCAGUGAAUGAUGAUCUAGCAAAGCAGUCUGUCACAGACAGACAACACUGGCCCAGAAAUCCUGCUUGAAAAUUUGGUGUACAUGAAACUGAGACAGAAAUUGGAACUUUCAACCAAAUGCUGUAGGUUAGAAGUUGUUUUAGCUGAACAUACUGGGCACAUAUUUGAAUGCAAAAGGUAAGGUAUUGUUUUGUUCAUGUAAGAUCUGAGUGUUUCACACAGCACUCCAAUAUCCUCUCUUAAGUAGGAGAGGCAACCAUAAAACACAGAAGUUGGCAGAUGCACAGGGUGUGAGGUACUAUCAGUAAAGAAUUUGUUCCUAAUAUAUAUUCUUAAUCUAACUUUUCAGUUUAAAGCGGUUACUCCUUGUCCUGUCGCUCCAGGCCCUGAUAAAGACUCCCUCCCCAGCUUUCCUAUAGGUUGUCUUUAAGUACAGGAAGGCUCUCCCUGGUGUCACAGUAAGCUCACCUGUUACCCAGGUGUCACAGUUAUUUCCUGUGAUAGGAAUAAUGACAAGGGUUAAUCUAUUGCAGGUGAUUUCAUACAAUUAUAGAAAAGCUUUUGUUGGAAAGCACCUUAGAGAUCUCCAGAUCACCCCCGUACUUCAAGCAGGGCCAUUUUUAAAGCCCUGUCAUAUUGCUCAGGGGCUUGUACAGUCAAAUUUUGAAUGACCCCAGCAAGAGACCCUACAGUCUCACUGUGUCCCUUUGCCAGUGCCUAGGCAGAGUGUGCUUCCCCUGCUGGUCCUGGUGAGAUGAACUGAUACAAGUUUUGAGAAAACAGAAGUUUAUGCUACUGCAUGAAGUACCCUUUGUAACAUUUUUUUUUUUUAACCUUUACUGGUUCAUAUCUGAAAUUUGAAAUUCAUCAGGGAACUCAGCCUGGCACACAGUAAAACUGAUGGCAGAUACUUCACAAUAUUAUUUGAAUUUCAUGUAAAUAGAACAGACUAGCAACUUACUUAGGAGAAGAAAUACAAUUUUAGAAAUAUUCAAAACCAAAGGCAUUCCAAACUAAGUUUAAGUUCAGAGGAAAUCCAAAGAAAAAACUAAUUUUGAAACUAAUAAUCAGAGAACAUAAUCUUCUACAAAUGAUAGAUUUUCCUCCUGUAUUGGGUAAUUUUGAUCUGUCUUUAAUGAUCAUCCAGACAUGGCUUUGACACUGAGUAUCUUGCUUUGCCACUGCAUUAAGUCUUCUUCUCAUGUGUGGUAAAUGUCCUGCUCUCAUGGGAUGGGCCUAGGAGACAUACGCACUGUGUCUCAUGAUGCUUGGAUAUCAUCUUAAAUCUGUGAGAAGAGGAAAGGUCUCACUGCUUCCUGAACGGGGAAAUGGAUGUCUGCAGUUAAGAACCCUCUGUCUAAUCUAGAAACAUGAAGGAAGGAGUUUUCUGGAUUGCAAGUGACAGUGGAGAAAGCCACAGGUGACAUAUCAAACCGAUUAAAAUGUUAUUUAGCUCAGGGCAUGGCUAAUGAUGUGGAGCUGGAAUAGUUUGAUGAUUGUAAUUACACUCACUAUCAUUGUUAUUUGUUUAUAGGAUGGUAAUGCCUAAAGGUCCCACUGGAGCCUGAAACAAGGUUGUGCUGGGUGCUGCACGUGCAUAUAUCUGUGGCGAUUUGAGAGCUAGUGAUACAAACAGACAAAACAGAGAUUGAAAGGAGAAACAGAGGGAUAGAGAUAAGAAGAUCUCCCCACAGGUCAUUUAGGGUAACCAGCCAUGAGUUCAGUGCAUCCAGGUCUCCAGUGCUCUGCUGGCCCAGCCAGAUGAAUGGAAAACAUUGCAGCUUUGGAAAAAUAGUGUUUCUUCUAAUUCUUUGGCCACAGUUUUGAUGUUUUAGGACUGCUUUUUUUUUUUUUUUCUUUUUUUUUUUUUCCCCAUUUGUCCUAGAAAAGGUGAACUUUUCAAACACCUAUUCUGAAUUAAAAUAUUGUUUUCAUUGUUAUGUUUCUGUUUUGUUGGCACUAUUCAUAAUGACUUCUACCCUUCAGUGGAAGCAAAAGCUUAUCAUACCAUAAAAUUGGAAAGAUCACAGAAAACUUCAGAGCUUUUGAAGAAAGGUGAGGAAAAUCCAUUCCCUGUUCUAGGCAGAGAGAGUGGCUGAUUUCCAGAAAGGUAAAUAGGCAGGAUAAGGCCACUUCAUGUUCACUGAUGGCCAGUUGUAUGGACUGUGAAGAUAAUGGACUACCAGCACAAGAGACAGUGCCAAUAAUCUAAUCCAAUACAAUCUAUUUCAAGUGGUAGAGACAUGAUGCUCUAUGACAAUGUGAGGAAGACCUAACUGUCAGGCAAACUUUGAGAUGAUCAUGUUCAGGAUCUAAAACUGUUAUGACAAGUGUCAACACAGGAAGGGUGAAACAAAGACAUGAAUGUCAUACAAGUACUGAUAAAUCUCAGGAAGGCUGGAAACCAGGGCAAAUGGAUGGAAUAAGAUGGUGCUUUGUGUUAGCAAGAAGCAGAGGAUAGAGAAAUUAAAUGUUAUGGGUCAGCAAAAGAGUGGUUUUGUGCAAAUCACUGCUAAAGAUAGACAGCCUUGCUAGCCUGCUCUUUGCUCUUAGCUCACAAGUCUAAUAGUGAAUUAUCUCUGUACAGUUAUCAGACACGUAAACAAUAAUGGGAAUUAUGGGAGACUUUAACUUCCCAGCAAAAGAUUGAAAGAUAAUUACCACUUAUGUUCAUACAGAUAUACUAUAUGGUGGAUUUCUUCACAAAAGUGAAAAAAUAUAAGACCAUUUUAGACUUGGCUCCUGUAUGGGUUUAAAUGUAGUAAAAUUUGAAUAAAGUGUGAUCAUGAGCUGACUUUUCUCAUUUUACAUUUCAAGACAGACAAAACCAGGUUUAGAAUGAAGGUUUUGAGGCUUAGAAAUGCAAACUUUGAAAUCUAAGGAAAUGAAUAAUUGAGUCUGACUGAGCAGCUCUGGGACUUGAGUGCAGAGAAGGCAUAGUUAAAAUUCAAAAUUCAAACAGGAAAAAAGCAAUGAGAAAAGGUAUGUUUCAGAGGUUAAAAACUGCAGAAAUAAAGUAAGAAUGACCAAAAACCUACUGCAUAUAGGAAAUUAAUAAUAGUAAAAGGUACUUAAGCCACAGAAACCAGGGGGAACAAAGAGAACAAAUUAGGACAGUUGCACACUUGAGGCAAAAAUAGAUCAAAAGUUACUGAUGUCUCAAAUGCUGCAAAUCUUAUUUCCUGCAUCUAACAGCAACAGCAAUGUGAUAUUAAGGGCAGUGACAGGACUCCCAUUGAAAAGGAGGGUAGGGCACUAGGCACAUCAUCAUCUGAGGUGAAAUAAAAAUCUAUAGUGAUUCAAGUGAAAAAUGAAAAGCUGAUAUCUACCUAGCCUAUUAACAGCAUUGGCACACAGAACAACAAGUCAAGUAGGAAAAAUGCAUAACAAUUGUGCAAAUCAGGGAUAGUCCCCAGAAUGGGAGAGUAACAAAUAUACUUCUGUCCAGAAGAGGGUAAAGAGUCAUCCAGACAAGUGUAGGCCUGUUAGUUUGACAUCAACACCAUGCAAAGUUUUGUAGCAAGAACAGAUAAGACCAGGGAAGUAGGGGGUAAAGUGUAAUUUACAAGAUAAUUUAUCAGAGCUAAAUUGUUUCCAGAUAAUUUAGUAGCUUUCCUUUGUAGGACCAGUUCUCCCCUACACAGGAGAUGAACUACAUCUAUUUCACUUUCUGUGAGCUUCUUAUACGUUAUCUACGGAUUUGGGCUUUGGGGCUGCAAGUGAAUAAAGGGAAUUUGCAAUUGUUCACACUGAAGAGGGAAUUACCAGCAAAGGGGUGGUUACCUACGGUGAUUCUCAGAGACAGUUCUAAAACUGCAGCUGCUAAGGAGGGAAAGACUCAUGGAGAAAUGUAGGCUGGAAGGGACCUCUGAAAACCCAACCUCCUAUUCAGGGCAGAGCUGACUUCAAAGUUAGAUAUGUUCGGUAUGGACAUGGUGGCUGAAGACUAAAAAUUACACAUGAGCUUUGAGACUUGCAGGUGACAUAAAGUUGGGAAGUACUACCAAGCCUGACAGAAGGAUAUCCCUUGUGAUUGAAAUGGUUCAGGUGAAGUGACAUGUGAUAAUACAAAGCAGAACCAUUCUCAGAGAUUCUCAAAAAAGGGUGUUUUUUUUUGUCAUGUUUGCUAUAUGACAGUCAGGAGUUUAAAACAAACAAACAAAAAAAAAAGGACAACAAAACCUCACGUUCACGCACUGUUAGCACAAGGAGGACUGAAAAAGUUAAGUGGUUAUAUGGUGUGUAUGGCUAUUCAUUUUUUUUUCCCUCCAGUAUGAAUACACUGGACCAGGCAGCCCUGACACUCAUUUGAGACAUGAGGCACAGUUCUGCCACUUGUAUUCACAUUGAACUUAGGAGGAAGAGUUCACAAGACAGAAGGAACAAGUUGCCUAUUGUCUGGAAGGGAAUUAAAGGACAUCAUUCUGCCCAGCCAGAUGCCAGUUGAGAGAAGAAUAUGAUGUCUCUAUGUAAAUGAAUUUCUUGAGUAAAUAUCAAGGAGAAAUAGGAAAUGUGUAAGUUGGGAGACACAUCUGAAAUGAUGACUGCAGUUGGCUUAUGAGCAAGUUUGGACAGGAAAUUGGUAGAAACUUCCCAUUUUAAGAAUAAAGUGCACCAUAGAUAUGAAGUCAGCAUUCACCUAAACAGCAGUACCAACUCAAAUCCUCCACAAGAAAGCAGUGGACAAACCAGAACACUAGCAAACAUGUUGGGGUCUAGAGUCAAACAGAUAUACCUAACUUUACUACACCUAAACAUCUGAGGGAUUGCUUUUAGAGGCAGAGGGCUUGUACGCCAUUUCCAAUCACUUCCUCUGUGCCCCUUUCCCCAGAGAAGGAAGCUCCUUGGCUUCACUGCCCUUUGAUUCAGCUGCCCAAUGAGGCUGCCGGCUCCUCAGCACCUCUAAGCAGCAGCACCUUCAAGUCUCCUCCUGCACCAGCAGCACAUCAGCGUCUCUCGUUCCAGCAGCAGGACAUCGGCGUCUCCCAUUCCACCAUCCAGACGUCCACGCCUCGAGUGCCACCAGCAGUACUCAAUGCGAGCUGGACGCUCAGGGCACUUACGGCCACCCACCUUUGGGAGCUCAAAGGCUGACAGUGACUCUCUGCUGACCUCACACGGCUCUCGGGCGCCCCGAUGGCAGAGGUUACGGCGGUAAGCUGACUGCCAGGAGAAAAGGCUGACGUGAAAUGGCUGCUCCACAAUGCCAGGAGCAAGGUCUGCUGGAAUGGGGGUUCGGAGGGGAGCUCGGCCUUCGGCCUGGGAACCGCGCCUGGGAGCCAGGGACGUCCUUGGUGUGCAGCUGGACACCUGGGCCUGAGAAAGCAAGGUUUCUUUAAAGAGAAUUGGAAGCAUCGUCACCUAGUGGCUGUGUCAGGGGGACGAGAGAAAUGCACAGCAUCUCUUGGUUCCCUGAAGUGCUGGUGUCCUACGCCCUUGGAUGUCUCAAUGAUAGAAAAAGGGACUGAUUUUUACCCAAAACAGAGCUCCUUUCUCUCGGAAGCUGCUCGUGCUGCGUGUCCUCCUCUCUUUCUUGUAUUUGGCUAGGACUUUAGGCUUGUUCUUGCUACUCCUUAGGCAGACUGAAGCUUCCCCGGAACAUCCCAUUAACUGAUUUUCACUACCUCUAAGUGCCUUUCCUCCACUUCUCCUCUAAUUAAUUAGUGCUAUCCUCUUCACGCCUGCUGCAGAGGUAUCUUUGCUACCUGGUACAAUCUAGAAGAGCUUAGCAGCAUCCACACGUCUCUUUCCUUUAGUCGUCACGGUAGACUUGCUCGAGGUAAUUUGUGUUGAGCAGUAAUCAACAGAAAGUGUCACCAAGCCAAGUCUGCAUUUGCUUGUGUCUUAUGGAAUCCCUGCAGCUGUGUCCCCUCCCAGCUUCCCGUGUGCCCCAAGCAUCCUCGCUUGCAGGGCAGUAGAAGAUGCAGAAAAGUCCUUGCCUUAGUGGAAGCACUGCCCUGCAAGAGCUAAGACAUCCCUCUUAGCAGCACGCUGUAGCCCCGAAAUGCCAAAAAAUGGCACAUGCCAGCUACUGGGAAGGAAAUGAACUCUGUCAUUGUGAUAUACCCGCUCAAGGCCCUGCUCUUUGGCCCAGGUGUCUAUGAGGCGGUUUUGGAAAUGAGUCCUGUUGUGUGACUCCGUUCUUUCUGGGUGCAAUGUCCCCAUAAGGCUUGCUUUUCAAGGCCCAGGAGAGUCUGCUGGGCACUGGCCUGGGUUCCCAGCCUGACCCACCUGCUGGGAAUCAGGGAGGCUCGCUCGGUGUCUUGUCUUGGGUUUACGUGGACAGGUUCUGGUAGCGGGGGGCUGCAGGGGUGUCCUCUGCGAGGAGAAUGCAGCAGCUGCCCCAUGUUAGAUAAGGGCCGGUUCCAGGAGGCUCCAGAGGGACCCGCUGCUGCCCAGAACUGAGACAAAAAGGAUGAUGUUUACGCCUGUGUGAGAGCCCACCUAAGAAAGGGAAAGCAACCUGCUGCACAGCAGCGUCUGGGUCAGGGAGGAGUGAGAAACCUCUCUGCAGCCCCCAAGCCUCCUGUUCCCUGGGAUGGCCCUACAUUGGGGUCGCCUGCCUCGCCUUCCUAUUGCUCCUUCCCCUUCUUAGGAGGACUUUCUUCCCUUCCUAACCGAGAUGACUUCUGCAUCCAUUCCUUCAUCUUGUGUGUAUUGGCGACUGAUACAGCAACGGGGUAGUCCCCGGAGCCAGCUGUAGGGCCUGUCACAGGGUUGGAGUGGCUGCAGGGAACAUCACAGGGGUUGCAGGGGCUGCAGGACAAAUCUCAGGGGUUGCAGGGGCUGCAGGUAAAAUCCCAGGGGUUGCAGGGGCUGCAGGAAAAAUCACAGGGGUUGUAGGGGCUGCAGGUAAAAUCACAGGGGUUGUAGGGUCUGCAGGAAAAAUCUCAGGGGUUGCAGGGGCUGCAGGUAAAAUCACAGCGAUUGCA